ACCGUUGCGGUUUUCGAUGUUCCUCGAGACACGGCGGAGUCCAUUUUGAAACUUGCCGAAAAUGGAUUCUCCAAAGCUGUUGAAUCUACCAAUCAAAAACAAGUGCUGGAGAGCCUUGAAGGAGAUCUGCCGAUUGCUAGGAGAAAGUCUUUGCAGAGGUUUCUGGAGAAACGCAAGGAAAGGUUGACUUCACUGUCUCCUUAUGCUUGCACACCUGAUUGUCGUUCAUAGAGCGGAAAUGAGAAGACCAUGAAAGAGUUGUUUCAGGAUAGGGACAAUUAGAAUACUGUUUCAUCCUUUAUGGCUCUGAGUUGGGGUUGCUUUCUACUGUGCUUUCCUCUUUUGGCGGAGCAAAAGAAAAACAACAUAUACUUUAGAUAAUGGAAUUUGGCUUACUAGGGUCCGUUGAAGUGGUUGAGAGUCACGUUUUAGUAAUGUCUUGGCAAUUAGGCUAAAAUAUUCGUUUCCCUGCUUCGCUGUAG
rnacentral:misc_RNA from 1 species